rnacentral:lncRNA from 1 species
UCGCGUAGUUGCCAGUGUCCAGCUCCUUCUUUGUUCUUUGUUCCGAAAUCGGUCUUCUUCUUCUUCGGACCCCGAACGUCGCCUCACGCUUCCUGCCUUCGUCAAAGGGCCUCCUUUCGUUCGACACAUUGGGCGCAAGAGCGAGUUGCACGGCUGGCCCUCCGUUUCAAGUGACCUCCUUCAGCUGCGGAUGACCUGUGCUUAAUCAAGACCGCUUGAAUGGCAACUGAGAACUUGCUCCAAGCAAAAAGUGUUUUUAUGAAAUCGUGUUAGCUCGUGCGAAUUCACUGAAUAGGAACAAGUGUGUUUUCAUCGAGACAGCUCUCGUCCGGAAACUUGCAUUGUCGGCCUAAUAAAGUUUGACGUCAAGCCUAAUAAAACGUGAGGUUAAAACGGAGAAA